rnacentral:rRNA from 1 species
UACGUAGGUCCCGAGCGUUGUCCGGAUUUAUUGGGCGUAAAGCGAGCGCAGGCGGUUUGAUAAGUCUGAAGUAAAAGGCUGUGGCUUAACCGUAGUACGCUUUUGAAACUGUCAAACUUGAGUGCAGAAGGGGGGAGUGGAAUUCCAUGUGUAGCGGUGAAAUGCGUAGAUAUAUGGAGGAACACCGGUGGCGAAAGCGACUCUCUGGCUUGUAACUGACGCUGAGGCUCGAAAGCGUGGGGAGCAAACAGG